UUUGACUAUGUUUGACCUAAAGUUUAAUAUAUUAUUUUAUUUAAAAAAACAAAAGGGAGCAUUUUAAUAAUUCAAAAAUGAAAAAAAGAAAAAAGAAAAACACUACUGUCUUAACCCACCAAGCCCCAAAAUCACUAACACUCACACCCAAACACUCAUCACUCUCUCACGACCAAACCCUAGAGAUCAACCUUGCACUCAAUCGAUCGAGCAAAACACCAUCCUUUCGCCUCCAUUCAAGUAUAUUGUAACUAUGCCGGCAAUGUUGUUUAAAAAUUGUAGCUCGUUGCUGUCGGCACCAUUUUGCUAGUAGUAUUAAAAUGCUGGGUUUGUUGCUGCUGUGUUGCGCGGGGUUCGAGUGGCUGCUUCUACGUCGCGUGGGAGUGGCUGCUGCUACGUCGCGCUGCUGAUGCUGUUGGGUCGCUACUACAUUGCGUGCUGCUGGGUUGUUGAUGGGUGAUGGCUGUAAUUGUUGUAAAUUUAUGAUGAUUUUGUGAUAUAAUUAUUGUUUAUCACAAAUUUGUGAUAGAAUCGUGAUAAAAAUUUUCUCUGUCAAGAAAUUAUGAUAAAAAAUUUACUUUGACUAUGUUUGACCUAAAGUUUAAUAUAUUAUUUUAUUUAAAAAAACAAAAGGGAGCAUUUUAAUAAUUCAAAAAUGAAAAAAAGAAAAAAGAAAAACACUACUGUCUUAACCCACCAAGCCCCAAAAUCACUAACACUCACACCCAAACACUCAUCACUCUCUCACGACCAAACCCUAGAGAUCAACCUUGCACUCAAUCGAUCGAGCAAAACACCAUCCUUUCGCCUCCAUUCAAGUAUAUUGUAACUAUGCCGGCAAUGUUGUUUAAAAAUUGUAGCUCGUUGCUGUCGGCACCAUUUUGCUAGUAGUAUUAAAAUGCUGGGUUUGUUGCUGCU
rnacentral:lncRNA from 1 species